GAUGAACGCUGGCGGCGUGCCUAAUACAUGCAAGUCGAGCGAACGGACGAGAAGCUUGCUUCUCUGAUGUUAGCGGCGGACGGGUGAGUAACACGUGGAUAACCUACCUAUAAGACUGGGAUAACUUCGGGAAACCGUAGCUAAUACCGGAUAAUAUUUUGAACCGCAUGGUUCAAAAGUGAAAGACGGUCUUGCUGUCACUUAUAGAUGGAUCCGCGCUGCAUUAGCUAGUUGGUAAGGUAACGGCUUACCAAGGCAACGAUGCAUAGCCGACCUGAGAGGGUGAUCGGCCACACUGGAACUGAGACACGGUCCAGACUCCUACGGGAGGCAGCAGUAGGGAAUCUUCCGCAAUGGGCGAAAGCCUGACGGAGCAACGCCGCGUGAGUGAUGAGGGUCUUCGGAUCGUAAAACUCUGUUAUUAGGGAAGAACAUAUGUGUAAGUAACUGUGCACAUCUUGACGGUACCUAAUCAGAAAGCCACGGCUAGCUACGUG
rnacentral:rRNA from 1 species